CAUUGUCGUGUUCUCACUAUCAGAGGGCCAGAUGGAAGAGGAUCAAAAUAGCGCCAACAGCAUGAUUAUACAAAAGUGAGAGUUGAGAAUAAUGAACAUAUUGGCAUUCAAGAGUGACACAAAAGCAAGCACAAAAAAACAGACAAAACUCAUUCUGGAGCUGGGUCACUGAGGAAUGCAUGGGUUUUCUAGCUGGCUGCACUUGGGAGAAAAGUUUAAGUCAAGUAUGCAUAUUGCCUAGACGUCAAAAGUAUGUAGGAGGCUUUCAAGGAGUUCUCAGGCAAGGCUGACCAUUAAAACCCCUUUGAAAGUUUUAU
rnacentral:lncRNA from 10 species